rnacentral:misc_RNA from 1 species
GAUGAAGAACGUAGCGAAAUGCGAUAAGUAAUGUGAAUUGCAGAAUUCAGUGAAUCAUCGAAUCUUUGAACGCACAUUGCGCCCUCUGGUAUUCCGGGGGGCAUGCCUGUUCGAGCGUCAUUAUAACCACUCAAGCUCUCGCUUGGUAUUGGGGUUCGCGGUUCCGCGGCCCCUAAAAUCAGUGGCGGUGCCUGUCGGCUCUACGCGUAGUAAUACUCCUCGCGAUUGAGUCCGGUAGGUCUACUUGCCAGCAACCCCCAAUUUUUACAGGUUGACCUCGGAUCAGGUAGGACUACCCGCUGAACUUAAGCAUAUCAAUAAGCGGAGGA